rnacentral:rRNA from 1 species
UACGUAGGGUGCAAGCGUUGUCCGGAAUUAUUGGGCGUAAAGAGCUCGUAGGCGGUCUGUCGCGUCGGCUGUGAAAACUCGGGGCUUAACUCCGGGCCUGCAGUGGAUACGGGCAGACUAGAGUGCGGUAGGGGAGACUGGAAUUCCUGGUGUAGCGGUGAAAUGCGCAGAUAUCAGGAGGAACACCGGUGGCGAAGGCGGGUCUCUGGGCCGUAACUGACGCUGAGGAGCGAAAGCGUGGGGAGCGAACGGG